AAAGGAAUUGACGGAAGG
rnacentral:ncRNA from 3 species